rnacentral:rRNA from 1 species
AUUGAACGCUGGCGGCAUGCCUUACACAUGCAAGUCGAACGGCAGCACGGAGCUUGCUCUGGUGGCGAGUGGCGAACGGGUGAGUAAUAUAUCGGAACGUACCCUAGAGUGGGGGAUAACGUAGCGAAAGUUACGCUAAUACCGCAUACGAUCUAAGGAUGAAAGUGGGGGAUCGCAAGACCUCAUGCUCGUGGAGCGGCCGAUAUCUGAUUAGCUAGUUGGUAGGGUAAAAGCCUACCAAGGCAUCGAUCAGUAGCUGGUCUGAGAGGACGACCAGCCACACUGGAACUGAGACACGGUCCAGACUCCUACGGGAGGCAGCAGUGGGGAAUUUUGGACAAUGGGCGAAAGCCUGAUCCAGCAAUGCCGCGUGAGUGAAGAAGGCCUUCGGGUUGUAAAGCUCUUUUGUCAGGGAAGAAACGGUGAGAGCUAAUAUCUCUUGCUAAUGACGGUACCUGAAGAAUAAGCACCGGCUAACUACGUGCCAGCAGCCGCGGUAAUACGUAGGGUGCAAGCGUUAAUCGGAAUUACUGGGCGUAAAGCGUGCGCAGGCGGUUUUGUAAGUCUGAUGUGAAAUCCCCGGGCUCAACCUGGGAAUUGCAUUGGAGACUGCAAGGCUAGAAUCUGGCAGAGGGGGGUAGAAUUCCACGUGUAGCAGUGAAAUGCGUAGAUAUGUGGAGGAACACCGAUGGCGAAGGCAGCCCCCUGGGUCAAGAUUGACGCUCAUGCACGAAAGCGUGGGGAGCAAACAGGAUUAGAUACCCUGGUAGUCCACGCCCUAAACGAUGUCUACUAGUUGUCGGGUCUUAAUUGACUUGGUAACGCAGCUAACGCGUGAAGUAGACCGCCUGGGAGUACGGUCGCAAGAUUAAAACUCAAAGGAAUUGACGGGGACCCGCACAAGCGGUGGAUGAUGUGGAUUAAUUCGAUGCAACGCGAAAAACCUUACCUACCCUUGACAUGGCUGGAAUCCUUGAGAGAUCAGGGAGUGCUCGAAAGAGAACCAGUACACAGGUGCUGCAUGGCUGUCGUCAGCUCGUGUCGUGAGAUGUUGGGUUAAGUCCCGCAACGAGCGCAACCCUUGUCAUUAGUUGCUACGAAAGGGCACUCUAAUGAGACUGCCGGUGACAAACCGGAGGAAGGUGGGGAUGACGUCAAGUCCUCAUGGCCCUUAUGGGUAGGGCUUCACACGUCAUACAAUGGUACAUACAGAGCGCCGCCAACCCGCGAGGGGGAGCUAAUCGCAGAAAGUGUAUCGUAGUCCGGAUUGUAGUCUGCAACUCGACUGCAUGAAGUUGGAAUCGCUAGUAAUCGCGGAUCAGCAUGUCGCGGUGAAUACGUUCCCGGGUCU